GAUCAUGGCUCAGGAUGAACGCUGGCGGCGUGCCUAACACAUGCAAGUCGAACGAGAUGCGUAUCGGAAAGCUUCGGCCGGAAGAUGCGUUAUCUAGUAGAGGACGGGUGAGUAACACGUGGGUAACCUGCCUUAUGGAGGGGGAUAACAGAGAGAAAUCACUGCUAAUACCGCAUAAGCACACAGUACCGCAUGGUAGAGUGUGAAAAGAUUUAUCACCAUAAGAUGG
rnacentral:rRNA from 1 species